AAAACAUCUUUUCUCUCUCUCUCUCUCUCUCUCUCUUUCUGUAGAAGUAGCACUUCACCGAGGCUCUCUCAAAAACUCUCCCAUGGAGUUUGGAGUCUGCUAAACUUUUCCAUCAGUGGGUUCUGUCGGCCACAAGUACGCGUCAAGCUAGGUCCGAUUGGUUCACUUCAAGAUUGGGUUCACGUGGGUUUCAAGAGAUUCAUCUUUGUUUUCGUGCCCUUUUUCUUUUCUUUUUUUUAACUGAGGCCUGAAGCCGUGAGCUCGGAGUGUUGUUUCUUGGACGCAUGGUCCUUUUCUUGAACGAUAAUCUUGUCCAGGAUCUGAAGAUUCUUGGAUUUGGGUUUCGGGAAGGGAAGCUACUGUUACAGUGCUCGAGAAGUUAAUUCAGCUGGCUAGUGGGUUCCUUUAAUUUCUAGGAGGAAUUUUAGUUUAGCAGUAAGACUUUUUGUUCGUGGGGUUGGGGUAGAAUUUUUGUAUGAAUCCUUUAAUUCUGAAAGUGAGUUUCUUUUAAUGGAGUCGUGGAGCUAUUUUUCUGAAGGGAAGGCUCUUGUAUCAGAUGAGCCUGUCUCGCCAUUUGAUUUGCUUGGAAGGAGCAAGAAUGCUGUCGCGAAUUGGGAACUGAGGAGUCCGCCUAGUUUUGGCAAUAGUGUAGUCGUCUCGGGUCAAGAAGCAGAUGUUGGCCAAGGUUUCGGUCAACUUGGUUUUCAAGAAAUAAUCAGGAAGCAAGUUCACCCAAAGUCCCCCAGGCAUGUCUUGACUGAUAAAUUUGAUGAUGGGAAUGGUGCAAAUCAGAUUCUGGCUGCCUUGGAUUCUUUUGGGGGAGAAGACGAUUCCACUUCAAAUUUAUCGGUCUCGGGGGUUGACUCCAAUACCCAAGAUUCAUUGCUCAUUGACUUGAAAUUGGGAAGAUUUGGUGAAUCCAGGGAAGUUCCUGGCGCAAAAUUCCCUCAAGGAGGAAAAAAGGUUUUAUCUUCUUCUGAAUCAUCGACACCUCCCAAGCGAGCUCGAUCUGUUGGAGCGAAUUGCCAUACCCAUUAUUGCCAAGUUUUUGGAUGCAACAAAGAUCUUAGCUCUUCAAAAGAUUACCAUAAGAGGCAUAAAGUGUGUGAGGUUCACUCAAAGACUGCCCAAGUGGUUGUAAACGGAGUUGAACAGCGUUUUUGCCAGCAAUGUAGCAGAUUUCAUUUGCUAGCUGAAUUCGAUGAUGGUAAGCGCAGCUGUCGUAAACGUCUCAGUGUCCACAAUGAGCGGCGCCGGAAGCCUCAUGUUGGGGUUCAGUCUGGUAGUGUUGGCAGGAUGUUGCAGUCAUACAAUGGUAGCGGGCUUGAGAGAAAUCUGUUAGCGCCAACCUCCUUCCUCUGCCAAGAUACACUUGCUGGCGAAAAGUUUCUGAAUUCUGGGCCAUAUGGAAUGAAUAAUUGGUAUGAGCACAUCAAAGCUGAAGAUGGAAUUGGUCUUGGUCCUCCAUCAGCUAUUCCCACCCCAAACAGGCAUCCGAAUGCAAUAUCACUGAUCUCUCCUUACAAAUUUGAGAGACAAUUUGCCCUCUUUGAUGGAGGCAGAGUAAAAUCCACAGCAUCUGGCAUUUCCAGUAAAAAUAAUCAGGUUCCACGUGAGCUGGGUGGGCAAAACUCUUCACAUUCUUCUUUUCAAAACACCUCCUUUGGUAGUGAGGACUUUGCUGUUUUCGACACAGCAUCGACUGUACAAGGAAUAUCGGGGAUCAUAGAAUCUGGCCGUGCUCUCUCUCUUCUGUCAUCUCUAUCUCAAAAUUCUUCAAGCCACUCCCGAAUUCCCAUGGCUCAGUCUUUGGUCAUGGCAGGCACUGACUAUCAUUUCUCUCUGUGCGGAGCAACCGACAAGCUAGUGGAUAUGAGUUCGCAUGCUUCCGUAGGGGUGGAGUUGAAAAAAUUGUCUUCAUCGGUGAUGGACUCUGCAGAAAGAAACCUCCCAGGUCAUCCCUUGGUUUCUGAUUUGGAGAUCUCUGAUGGGAUUCUGGGGGGAUCAGGUUUUGUAAACUCCAAAGACAAUCUUUCUCCUGAAGGUGGUGCUACUACAAUGAACUUGCUUCAGUUGUCAUCACAACUUCAACGUGUGGAGGAUCAAAGGCAAUCCAUCCAUUUGAAGGAGCAAAAUGAUGUUUUCGGUUGUCACAGCAUCACUUGAGCAUUCCAAGACAAGGUACAAGGAAAUCCUUGGAACCUUCAUUUGCUCAAUGGUUACAACUGACAAGCAGUUCGAAGCUUUGCAUGUUUUCUGCAUUGUUUCUCAAUUCUUCUGCUGGUCUGGCUGGAAUUCAUGAUCCUGUCUUAGCGAAACAGAGAAUUGGCUGAGAUUGGCUUUUAUUUCUCUCGAGGGAGAGGUUAAUGGUAGUAGCAUAGGGAAGAUCAGUUUUCUUCAAUGGCCACGGAAGAAUUGCAAGGCCCAGUAUGCAAGGGCAUUUUUCAUUUUGACAAUUUUAGGACAUUGGCCUGAACAGAUUUUUAGGUCAUUAGUUCUUCAUAGUCAACAGGGGAGGGAAAACAGAUUCAUUUAAGCUACUGUACUGCGGAAGGCGUUUGCGGUUCUUGAAACUGGCACUUGCACUGGCGCUUGCACAUGCUUUCAUAAUUUAUAAUCUGUAGAAAGGGGGGACAAAAAGAGAGUUGGAAA